GAUAAUUGCUUCUAUAGAAAGUUAGCACAUGGCAGUGUCAAUCUCUUGCUUUUCUUCUGAGUAGUAUUUUAUUUAGUUGUAAUUCAAUCAAUAAUUUGCUUCUUGAAAUUAAGUAAUGAAUUUCUUGUUUUACUUUAUAAAUUUCAGAUCCUGCCUUUACCUGCUCCCUCCUAUACUGAUGUGGUGUAUGUUGUACUGCUGAGCUUGUAUGUGAUCUGAACCAUUGUAAAGGUUGCAGUUCAAGGGCCUGAGGUGGAAGCAGAAUUUGUGAGGAUUACUACUGCUCCACUUGUUCCAAGGCUUUUUGCACAACUUGACCAAUACACUGACCAGCUCAUAAAAGUCUUCAAGAAAAAAGGAGGAACUGCAGGGAAGAAAAUUAGACACAUUUUGGCCCCUGCCACACAGGUG